UUAGCUCGACUAUUCGAAGAAUAUGAGAGCUAUUGUAGUCGCCCCGGCGUCGGCGUCAGCGUCAUCGUCCGCGUCAGCGUUGGUUAAAGUUUUUUGUAAAUUCAAAUAUCUCAAUUAUUGCUUGAGAUAUUCAAUUGAAACUUACAAUACUUAUUUAUAGUAACAAUGUACAUCAGAUUGACAAGUUCGAUAACUCUGUCUACAAUAUUGACAGAAUUAUGCCCCUUUUUAACUUAGAAAUUUUGGUUAAAGUUUUUUGUAAAGUCAAAUAUCUCAAUUAUUGCUGGAGAUAUUCAAUUGAAACUUGCAAUACUUAUUUAUAGUAACAAUGUUCAUCAGAUUGACAAGUUGGAUAACUCUGCCUACAAUAUUGACAGAAUUAUGCCCCUUUUUAACUUAGAAAUUUUGGUAAAAGUUUUUUGUAAAGUCAAAUAUCUCAAUUAUUGCUUGAGAUAUUUAAUUGAAACUUGCAAUACUUAUUUAUAGUAACAAUGUACAUCAGAUUGACAAGUUGGAUAACUCUACCUACUAUAUUUUCAGAAUUAUGCCCCUUUUUAACUUAGAAAUUUUGGUUUAUGUUUUUUGUAAAUUCAAAUAUCUCAAUUAUUGCUUGAGAUAUUCAAUUGAAACUUACAAUACUUAUUUAUAGUAGCAAUGUACAUCAGAUGGACAAGUUUGAUUACUCUACCUACAAUAUUCACAGAAUUAUGCCCCUUUUAACUUAGAAAUUUUGGUUAAAGUUUUUUGUAAAGUCAAAUAUCUCAAUUAUUGCUUGAGAUUUUCAAUUUAACCUUACAAUACUUAUUUAUAGUAACAAUGUUUAUCAGUUUGCAAAAUCGCAUAACUCUGCCUGCAAUACUUGCAGAAUUAUUUGUUUUAAAACUUAGAAAUUUUGGUUAAAGGUUAAAGGUCUUCAAAGAUAUUUACUUGAAACUUUACACAUGUACUUAGGGUCAUAAUUGGAGGGUCAUAAUUGUUGUAUGUCACUGACCAAGUUCCGUAACUCUAUCUUGCAUUAAGCUGAUUCAUCUCCCCUUUUCUACUUAGUCUCUUGGUUAAUGUUUACAUGCAAGUUUUACAUAUUUCAAUAACUAUUAAAGAUAUUUAUUUAAAACUUCACAUAUGCAUUUAGAAUCAUAAUUGUAGGUCACUGACCAAGAUCCAUAAUUCUAUCUUGCAUUUAGGCUGAUUUUUCUCCCCUUUUUCAACUUAUAAAUUCCUGGUAAAGUUUUGCUUGUAAGCUGUUAUGUCCAUAACUACUGAAGAGUUUGUGCCUUUUUGGGACAUUUUUAUGCAUUCAUAAUAAUAAAGCAGUGAUUUACUUGAUAAAACAUCUUAAUAACAAGCCUUUGUUCCUUUUUCAGUCAAUUUUAUGUAUUCAUAGGAAAUUAGCAUUAUUAUACUCAAUAAAACACCCUUGUGACAAUUUUUGGAUAGUCGGUAUUGGCUUGACUAUUCAAAAAUUGUCACAAUGGUGAGUAUAAUAAUGCUAAUUACUGACUAAGAAUUUACGUUCAAGUUGCAUACCACCUCAGAUAUUUUGCUAUUCCAUUGACAUCUCGCUUUGAAACAAGUUGAAAUUUUAUGCUCUUCUUUGAGAGCAUAAUAGGACUCUCCCGAAGACCUAUAGCCGUAACAUGGAUUUAAAGAAAAAUUUGGCCCUUUUGUUAAUUUAGAAAAUGUUACAUUAUCAAGGCUCUUUUAAUAUCAAACACUUAGAAUAGUCGAGCAUGCUGUCCUACCGACAGCUCUUGUUAUGAUUCAUAAAGAUCUAGUUGCAUUAUUUAAGCCAUCAUUUAGACUUUAAAUGGGUUAUAGGCCAGCCUUGUUUUCUUCAAAUGUUAUGUCGUUUUUGAAUUGAUAAGAUCAGUCAUUUCUUGCAGAUUAGCUUAAAUUGACAACAUCAAGAGAAAUAAAUUGCAGAAGAAGAAAGUUAUUUGAUGAUGGAGACAUGUCCACUGCUUGUUUAUGGAUUUGUUUUUAAUGUUAAGAGCAGAUAAAACUCAUGGUUAUAGAAGUUGAUAUAUAAAACUUUCAUUUAAUGGACAUAGUUAAUUGCACCGUUAACUUAAAAAAGUGAACAAUAAUUUAACAUAUGAGUAUCAUCCGAAAGAGGCUGAAUGGUUAGUCACUGACUUCAAACCACUUGUUUCUCACCGCUGUAGGUUCAAACCAUGUAAACAUCUUCAAGUUCUUUCAUGUGAGAAAGCUAUCCUGCUAGCUUAAGGAUGGUUGGGUCUUCUACUCAAGAGCCAGUUUAUGCCUGAAAUGACACCAAAGAGGGGCACCUGAGGUCUUCCUCCACCAGUUAAGCUGAAAAGUCACCAUAUAACCUAUACUGUGUUGGUGCAAUGUAAAACCCAAUUAAAAGAAAAAAAAAUCAUCUAAAAAAUUACGAAUAUGUUCAGUUAGUGUCACAAACAUCUCUAACUUAACCAAGUAAAGUACAAGAAAUGCAUAUUGUUCUGAUGAAAUCCAUUCAAAAGAAUGAAAAAGAAAAUAUUGCUUAUGAAUUCAUCAUUAUUUGAAUAUUGAUAAAUUUAUAUGUCUUCUAUAAUAAUUUUGUCUUUUAGAUUUUGAAUAUAUUUAUUCUAGAGUUUGUUAUCUUGUAUUGAUGAAUUGUUUGGAUUUUUCUUUUUAUGACAUAUUUGUGAAUAUAUUUUAUAUAUUUGAAAUUUGUGAUCAUUAUGAAGUUGAAAAUUUGUAUUUGUUAUUGUGUUUAAAUCUUAAUUUAUCAAAUACCCUUGCUUUUGUGGUAUUGAUUAUAUUUUGAUGUCAUUUGCAUUAUACUAAUAGAUGAAUGUAAGCCUUACACUAAAAACAGUGAUUCUUUUCUGUAUACUGUAAACAGUUCAUAUUUUGGGUAUGUGAUAAAUAGAAUAUUAUAUAUGUGUAGCUUCAUUACUAAAUUUUAUUGAACUUAAUAUAUAUGAUUUAAAUCAACUGGUUCAAUAAUUUCAGUGUUGAACCUAAACUCUUUCAAUUUUCUCUUUUUAUCACAUACGCAACAGCACAGAAGUGUAAUAAAGUUUAAAUAAAAAUGAUUUUACACUAUUGUAACAACAAUUCAGUGUGACUUCUAGUUUAUAUGUGUUAAAACUCAAAAUUGUUAGUGUUACACUAAAAGUGUGUCAAUGAAAAAUGACUUUUUUAACUGUAACCUGUUCUUAUUUUUGAUAUGUGAUAAAAUAUUAUAUAUAAUAUAUAUUAUAUUCAUUUAGAUUCAAUACUAAUUUAAGAUUUAUUAAACUUGUUAAUAAAUUAAGUAUUAAAGCUACACUUGUUUAAUAUCUUCUAUUUAUUUUGUUGUUUGAAAUUUUGAUUGCUGAAAAUAGAAGUAUAAUUUUAAUAUUUCCAUACAUAGAAAAUAAUUAUCAUAAGUAUGUAUGUACUUAUAAGAGUUGUCUUUUUCUGUAUUUCAUUGUAAUUCUGUGACUGAAUGGAUACGGUCAUUGACUUCAAAUCACUCCCUUCUUGACUGAUGGUUUGAAUCCCAUCAGAGUUUUUAAAUUCUCUCAUGUAAGGAAGCAAAUAUACACAAGAUCUGUGGUUCUACACAGCUGUCAUCUAGUGCCUGAAAUAAUUUUAAGAGGUAAUCCUUGACCAGGACAGCUGAAAAGUUGCUAGAUGUUUUAUUUUACAGUGUUGUUGUCACAUAAUAUUCAAAACAAAAAAAACAUGUAUAAGAGACUGAUUGAUAUAACACUUUAUAUAAAGAUGUGAAAUUUUGAUGUGUAACUAUUAUGGAGACUUAUCAAUGUAAAAUUAUGCUGUUUUGAUUAUUCAUGUAGAUUGAUUUGAAUGGUCAACAUUUUUCUUUCUGAAUGCUUAUUUGCCCCAAAGUAUUUUUUUUCUGUAAAUUUAAGUACAUGUUGUACUGUCCUAAUCUAUUUUUAAACUUUGUUGAUUUGUAUAUAAUAUAUGAUCACAUAAACAUGUAUAUGAUUGUAAAAUAUAAUUUCACUGUUCAAAGCACUGUAUUGCAAAUUAAGGUACCUAUUCUAAUUUAGUGUUGAAAAUUCACACAUGUUUUUACCAUACAAUCUAAAUCUUGACUCUAAAAGAAUAUGUAACUAAAAAGCAUCUUUAUAAAAUAAUUAAAAAUCAUAAGUUAAAAGGAUUUCAGUAGAAGUUAAUAAUUGCCUAAAGAAACUUUGAAAGCGUUCCCGUUCCAGAUACAUUGAAAAUAGUCAAUGGUUUAGUAUUAGUCUUGUUCUGCUGCCAUAUUUCCCGUACUGUUUCAUUUCUAGAUACAUUUGUACAUGGAAAAUAGUCAAUGUGUUAUGUUAUUGGGCUUAUUCUGCUGACAUAUUUUACUUUAAUCAAUGUGUUAUGUUUUUGGGCUUAUUCUGCUGCCAUAUUUUACUUUUUGUUUUCAGUUCCAAGUGCACAAUGAUGAGUAUUAAGUUCAAACAAUAAGUCUCACUCCAUUCAAUAAUUUACUGUUUCUUCUGUUAUAGCAUAAUAUACUUUUGCUUGGGUUGUUGUAAAUAGUUACAAUUUCUUGUUACUUUACAUUUGAAUUUACACUAUAUUAUGUUGACUUGUUAUGCUUUGCAGUCAGAAGGUUGUUUGCUAAUAUUUAUUGUAUAUUUUGCUUUAAACCGUUUGAUUUGAUACAAGGAAUCAACUGAUUGUUUAGGACUUGUUGUAUUUUUGUGACUUCCAAACAUGGUCUUUUUUCAAAUAAAGAUAUUUGACUAAAAUAAUGAUGACCAAUUUAACAGAAUUUUGUUUUGUAUACUACACUGCUAAAUUACAUGUUUGUAUAAGAUACAUAACAAUUAAAUCUAUUGUAUAGUGAGGAAAUCAUAUUUGGCAACUUUACAUUGCUUAAUACCUGCAUGCACUGCUGACGCUCGUAAUAAUUUGCAUAUACCAUUCACAGGCACUUUUACAUGAUACUAACAUUUAAUAUUACCUAUUUGAACAUAAUAAUGAAAAUCAUUUUCAUCUUACAAACUGCAAAUACAAGUAAAAUUCCUAAAUUCUUUAAAACAAAUGUUCUAAGGUUGACUUACAAAAAUAAGAGUCUUACUUUAAAUUUGCCAUUGAGUUUUAUGAAAUUAAUAAUAUUCUAUUUUCAUAAAUGAAAAAAAUAAUCUAUUUAUUCAGUCAUAGAGUCUUAUUUAUUUUUUUCACCAUAUUUAAUUAUUAUGUUUCAUUAUUUUAUAAAAGUUUAAUUUUUGAAGUGUGUUACAUUAAGAAAUAGCUAUAUAUUAUAAAAUACAAAAGAAAUGGUUUGCAUUUUACUGGACAAAGAAAGGAAUGCUCAGCUUACCAAUGUGUUUCCAGCUUGACAUGGGACCAGCAACAAACUUGAUUGUUUGCCUUUAUGUUAUUUUAUAUGUCAUAUUUUAAUUGAUCUAAUGUGUCGAUUUUUUUAAUAAAAACAUUCUUUAAUGGAAAUCACAUAAUUUUGUCUUGACCAUUGUUGACAGAAUGUAAGUGAAUCUAUUACUAAUUUUGAUUGUCAAGAUUUUGCAGAGCGAUGCCUCAAUCUUUACCAAUUACUUCAAAUACGUAUGAUUUCUGUUAUGAAUGAUGCGUUAUGUUUUGUGUUGUAUUUGAAAUAAUUUCUUCUGGAAUAAAAUCUACCAAUCAAUCA